AGGAAUCUGCCUGGUAGUGGGGGAUAACGCUCGGAAACGGACGCUAAUACCGCAUACGUCCUACGGGAGAAAGCAGGGGACCUUCGGGCCUUGCGCUAUCAGAUGAGCCUAGGUCGGAUUAGCUAGUUGGUGAGGUAAUGGCUCACCAAGGCGACGAUCCGUAACUGGUCUGAGAGGAUGAUCAGUCACACUGGAACUGAGACACGGUCCAGACUCCUACGGGAGGCAGCAGUGGGGAAUAUUGGACAAUGGGCGAAAGCCUGAUCCAGCCAUGCCGCGUGUGUGAAGAAGGUCUUCGGAUUGUAAAGCACUUUAAGUUGGGAGGAAGGGCAGUUACCUAAUACGUAUCUGUUUUGACGUUACCGACAGAAUAAGCACCGGCUAACUCUGUGCCAGCAGCCGCGGUAAUACAGAGGGUGCAAGCGUUAAUCGGAAUUACUGGGCGUAAAGCGCGCGUAGGUGGUUCGUUAAGUUGGAUGUGAAAUCCCCGGGCUCAACCUGGGAACUGCAUUCAAAACUGACGAGCUAGAGUAUGGUAGAGGGUGGUGGAAUUUCCUGUGUAGCGGUGAAAUGCGUAGAUAUAGGAAGGAACACCAGUGGCGAAGGCGACCACCUGGACUGAUACUGACACUGAGGUGCGAAAGCGUGGGGAGCCAAACAGGAUUAGAUACCCUGGUAGUCCACGCCGUAAACGAUGUCAACUAGCCGUUGGGAGCCUUGAGCUCUUAGUGGCGCAGCUAACGCAUUAAGUUGACCGCCUGGGGAGUACGGCCGCAAGGUUAAAACUCAAAUGAAUUGAC
rnacentral:rRNA from 1 species